rnacentral:rRNA from 1 species
AAAAAGCUCGUAGUCGGAUUUUGGCUGAGAACGGUCGGUCCGCCGUUAGGUGUGCACUGACUGGUCUCAGCUUCCUGGUGAGGAGGUGUGCUUUAUCGCCACUUAGUCACCGUGGUUACUUUGAAAAAAUUAGAGUGUUCAAAGCGGGCUUACGCUUGAAUAUAUUAGCAUGGAAUAACACCAUAGGACUCCUGUCCUAUUUCGUUGGUCUCGGGACGGGAGUAAUGAUUAAGAGGAACAGUUGGGGGCAUUCGUAUUUCAUUGUCAGAGGUGAAAUUCUUGGAUUUAUGAAAGACGAACUUCUGCGAAAGCAUUUGCCAAGGAUGUUUUCAUUGAUCAAGAACGAAAGUUAGGGGAUCGAAGACGAUCAGAUACCGUCCUAGUCUUAACCAUAAACUAUGCCGACUAGAGAUUGGGGGCCGUCUUUAUAUGACGCCCUCAGCAUCUUGAGAGAAAUCAGAGUCUUUGGGUUCCGGGGGGAGUAUGGUCGCAAGGCUGAAACUUAAAGGAAUUGACGGAAGGGCACCACCAGGAGUGGAGCCUGCGGCUUAAUUUGACUCAACACGGGGAAACUUACCAGGUCCAGACAUAGUAAGGAUUGACAGAUUGACAGCUCUUUCUUGAUCCUAUGGGGUGGGUGGUGCAU